CAGCAGCCGCGGGAAUACGUAGGUGGCAAGCGUUGUCCGGAAUUAUUGGGCGUAAAGGGCUCGCAGGCGGUUUCUUAAGUCUGAUGUGAAAGCCCCCGGCUCAACCGGGGAGGGUCAUUGGAAACUGGGAAACUUGAGUGCAGAAGAGGAGAGUGGAAUUCCACGUGUAGCGGUGAAAUGCGUAGAGAUGUGGAGGAACACCAGUGGCGAAGGCGGCUCUCUGGUCUGUAACUGACGCUGAGGAGCGAAAGCGUGGGGAGCGAACAGGAUUAGAUACCCCUGUAGUCCCUGUCUCUUAUAU
rnacentral:rRNA from 1 species